UUUAAGGUCUAAUCUGCCCAAUGAGAGGUUAAAUGGCCGCGGUACUCUGACCGUGCAAAGGUAGCAUAAUAAUUAGUUUUUUAAUUGAAAGCUGGAAUGAAUGAUUGGACGAGAAAAUAGCUGUCUCGGUUUGAUUUAAUUAGAAUUUUAUUUUUAAGUAAGAAAGCUUAAAUUUUUUUAAAAGACGAGAAGACCCUAUAGAGUUUUAUAUUUAUUUUAAUGUGAAUUUUUUAGAAUUUUUUUAUUUGUAUUUGUAUAAGUAUUUUAUUGGGGCGAUAGAAAAAUAUAAUUAACUUUUUUUUAUUUAUUACAUUUAUUUAUGAUAUUAUGAUCCAAUAUUUUUGAUUAUAAGAUUUAAUUACCUUAGGGAUAACAGCGUAAUUUUUUUUUAGAGUUCUUAUCGAAAAAAAAGAUUGCGACCUCGAUGUUGGAUUAAAAUAAACAUUUGGUGUAGGGGCUAAAUAGUUAGGUCUGUUCGACCUUUAAAAUUUUACA
rnacentral:rRNA from 1 species